GUGGGGAAUAUUGGACAAUGGGCGAAAGCCUGAUCCAGCCAUGCCGCGUGAGUGAUGAAGGCCUUAGGGUUGUAAAGCUCUUUCAGUGGGGACGAUAAUGACGGUACCCACAGAAGAAGCCCCGGCUAACUUCGUGCCAGCAGCCGCGGUAAUACGAAGGGGGCUAGCGUUGUUCGGAUUUACUGGGCGUAAAGCGCACGUAGGCGGAUCGUUAAGUAAGGGGUGAAAUCCUGGAGCUCAACUCCAGAACUGCCUUUGAUACUGGCGAUCUAGAAUCCGGAAGAGGUGAGUGGAACUCCUAGUGUAGAGGUGGAAUUCGUAGAUAUUAGGAAGAACACCAGUGGCGAAGGCGGCUCACUGGUCCGGUACUGACGCUGAGGUGCGAAAGCGUGGGGAGCAAACAGGAUUAGAAACCCUUGUAGUCC
rnacentral:rRNA from 1 species